UGCUGCUGUGCAACUCCUCAUGAUGUCAGUUUAUCCCUUUUGGCGAUUGCUGAGAUAAAACAUCUUUUCUCUGGUUUCCACUUUCCGCCUCUCACCCCGAACUGCUGCGCACCGUGAGCCAGCACUUCCCAGCAGCCAUGGAAAGCAACGGCACUGACGGGCUGAAAAGGAGAAACCUGCAACACACACACACCCUGCACCAGGAUGCAGAGCGUGGGUCCAAGCACUCUGCUCGUGUGUGUGUGCAGCACUGCGUUUUGCCUAGAUGGGAGGAUUUGAUACCUGUGUGAGAAGCUGGAGCUCCCUCCUGACCUGUGGAGUAGGGGUCCUGGUGAAAGAGAGCUGCUCCACUGAAAUGCUUAAGCAUUAAACCUGUGCUUGAGUUCCAUUAAAGUCCUCGAUGGGAGCAGGGAAUGGCUGGAGCUGGAGCACUGCUGAGUGCUUUCCUGCAUUGGGUUCCCCAACUUCUCUGCACCUGAGGCUCUAUGUGGAGCUCCAGCUCUGAGGCCAUCCUUCCCUCAGCCCCCGGCCCAACCGUCUUUUCUCGCUUCUUGUGUUUUCUUUUUCUCACAGGGAUUUUUCCCUUCCCUUCCCUUCCCUUCCCUUCCCUUCCCUUCCCUUCCCUUCCCUUCCCUUCCCUUCCCUUCCCUUCCCUUCCCUUCCCUUCCCAUACCUCAAAUCCACAAGCGGCCACUUCUGCAGUGAUAAAAUCACACUCCUUGCCCUUGUGGUGUUUUAUUUUUUCAUUUUUUUUCCCAGGCAAUGCUAGCUUACAACACCUUAAUUAUCGCAUCUCUCAAAACUGGUUAAGGAUUUUAAUACUUCCUUCCCUGGACCAUUAUGCAGAUUUCCCAGCCCCAUAAAAUGUGCCUUCUGGAACCCAAUCACUCUGUGCCGCUGAUUUCCACGCUUGCUCCUUAUCCCAGCAGCCCGGUGCCCCCUUGGACAAGCUUGGGGAUUGCCUUUUCCCAUGGCUGGAGAACGUGGGGGUGCACAGAGGGCCAGGCUGGCUCCCUGCAGCCCCACACCUGCUGGCUGCACAGGUGGGACGCGGCAGUGAGAAGGUUGCCGGCAGCCACAGCACAUUUUCGGUGGGAAUACGGGCUUUUAAUUUCAAUCACAUCGCCCAGCUUGCGACCACAUUGCGUCAUUUUAAUCAGCCGGCACAUCUGCAGAAGGUGCAGGUUUCCAGCAGUCUGAGCGCCGGAAUGACGGCAUAAAUCACGGCCAGGGAAAAUCCUUGACAUCGCCUUCAUUUCUGAAUCCGAUCCUGUGGCCCUGCAGGGUAAUGUAGGCUUUCUGGCACCCGCUCGGCCUGCCUGUUUGCUAUUUCAGAGCUACACGGCUCGUCGCAGAGCUCCGUGCAUCCGGAAUGCCGCUAUUCCAAAAAUCCAUCUGUUUUCUUACGGAGGGCUCCUGGCUCAGCCGCGAGUUCUGAUUCCCCACUCCCCGCCGUGCAGCCCCACUGCUUUCCCCUCUGCUCAGCCCGGGGCUGCACGAGUUCAGCUGUGUGAGCUCUCACGUGUUUCAGCACAGAGAUCAGGGAACGUCUCCCCGGUCCCGCCGUGCCCACACCUGUGGGACAAGCAGAGUUUAUUCCCUCCUGGCUUUUAUUUAGGAUGCACCGGCGCUGAUCGGCACCAAAACUGCUCUCCGCUGUUCGGUUUGGGGUGCGAGAGACCUCAACAGUGCGACCCCAACGUGCCGCGUUGUCUGCAGACAGACCCCGGGCCUCAUUUCCCUUGGAAAAAACCAUCUGAAAUGCUGACGGCAAAAGGCCUUUGUGCGCUCCAGUGCCGGCAGGGCUGGGCACGGAGGUGUGGAGGCGGCACAGCGCUGCGCAGUGCUGCACGUGUGGCUGACGGGCAGUGGGUGCCGGCGCACAGCGCGGGGCUCGGGCCGCACCCACAGCUGGUUUGCUCCGUUUCCUCUCCGCCCGUCGCGGUCCUUUUGGCACCGGGGAGGCGUGAAAGCACCAUUCUCCCGCUUCAGAAUUCCUCGGCUCCCCAUCUCCCACCUGAGCCGUUGUGCUGCGAGCAGGCGUCGCCAUGGCAACUAAUCGUGAUGUCAUUUGCGGAGAUUAUUGGACAGGAACACCUCAGGGCUGCCACCGGCCGGGGGUGGAGGGGCUCCUCCUGGCCGCAGCUCCGAGCGCCGGACGGCACCGGGCCGUGCCCGACGUGUCCCCAGGAGCGCCGCGGGGCAUUGGGGCUGUCCGACCGAGCCGGGGCUGCGGCCGCUCUGUGCCACGAGUGUGGUUCUGUGAUGGGAAGCAGCGAUGGGAGAUGCAGGAGGGAAGUCACUGACGCUCUAAUGCAGUUUUCAAUUCCCCAGCCAGCUCGCUUAGAAUAAUUACCUUUGUUGCAAUAUAACUCAUUACGGGAGGCUCGCAAUCCUCCCACCUAAAAUGAAAACGAUUUUUUUUCCUCCUUCCUCGAUUUUUUUUCUUUUUUCUUUUUUUGGUGUCUCUUUUGAAUUAAGGUGUCGUUGGAGAAGCAAUUGAUAGACUCAUUCAUUUAGCUUAAAUCAAACCGGCAAUUGUCUCCAGGACUCCAACCGGCUGCGAGAGGCGCGGCGUAACCCAAUUUAAGGAGCUGGAACGGCCUGGCCGAGGGAAAGCGUCUGCACAGCUUCAAUUUAACAACGCAUUUAAUUCCCGAUUUUAAUUUCUUUUUAAACGCAGAAAUCCAAAACGUCGAUUCCAAUUGGA